AUUGAACGCUGGCGGAAUGCUUUACACAUGCAAGUCGAACGGCAGCACGGGGCAACCUGGUGGCGAGUGGCGAACGGGUGAGUAAUACAUCGGAACGUGCCCAAUCGUGGGGGAUAACGUAGCGAAAGUUACGCUAAUACCGCAUACGAUCUACGGAUGAAAGCGGGGGAUCGCAAGACCUCGCGCGAAUGGAGCGGCCGAUGUCAGAUUAGGUAGUUGGUGGGGUAAAGGCCUACCAAGCCAACGAUCUGUAGCUGGUCCGAGAGGACGACCAGCCACACUGGGACUGAGACACGGCCCAGACUCCUACGGGAGGCAGCAGUGGGGAAUUUUGGACAAUGGGCGAAAGCCUGAUCCAGCCAUUCCGCGUGCAGGAUGAAGGCCUUCGGGUUGUAAACUGCUUUUGUACGGAACGAAACGGUUCUCUCUAAUACAGGGGGCUAAUGACGGUACCGUAAGAAUAAGCACCGGCUAACUACGUGCCAGCAGCCGCCGUAACAC
rnacentral:rRNA from 1 species